UUCUUAUGNGACCAGUUGAGCCUGACUGAUGCGCUGCACAAAGAGCAGGACUUCUUCAAGGAACAUCCACAUUUCAGGGUUCUUCUGGAGGAGGGAAAGGCCACAGUCCCCUGCCUGGCGAACAGACUGACCUCGGAGCUUAUCUUUCACAUCUGUCAAGCUCUGCCCCGGUUAGAAAAUCAAAUAAAGGAGUCUCAACAGAAAAUAACAGAAGAGUUACAUAACUAUGGCACGGACAUACCA